CGCACAUUGCACUCCUUGGUAUUCCGGGGAGUAUGCUUGUCCGAGCGUCAUUUCACCUCUCAAGCUUAUGCUUGGUAUUGGACCUUGUCUGUAACAGACAUGUCCGAAAAUGAGUGGCAGGUUUUUGAGCUUUAGCGAAUUGAAACAUUAUCGUAUCAAGUCUCAUCACACCUCGCCAGAAAAUCUUCAAUCUCUUGACCUCGGAUCAAGUAGGGAUACCCGCUGAACUUAA
rnacentral:misc_RNA from 1 species